GUUAUUGCACAUAAAGCACACAUUGCAGACUCAUAAGAGAUUACAACUUGUUGGUGGAAGGCUGGCUGCUUGACAGGCACUGUGCCACAAGGGAGGGAGAGCUGGCGUCUAUAGUCCCACAGAGGAUUUGGGAUGCAGCUCUCUCAGAUAUCCGCUAGACGGCGCAAAAGAUCAAGUCAACAUGUCAAAUCCACCUUCUGGCUUGGCUUGCUUGAGCCAGGACUGCUGCUUUAUCUUUACAAACGUAACGCUUUGCCUUCCAAGUGCCUUUAUGGUAUUAUUGUGUAAAUUUAAUAUGUGACUAAUGUUCAAAAGGCAAUGGAGCCUGUAAAUAAUUUGCAUGGAGCAAAUCCCAUUCUGCAGUUCGCUAAAUUGAAUUUAUAACAAAGCAAAGCUAAAUAAAAUAUAUCUUCUACCUUUGUUAAUUAAA